rnacentral:rRNA from 1 species
GAUGAACGCUGGCGGCGUGCCUGAUACAUGCAAGUCGAGCGAACAGACGAGGAGCUUGCUCCUCUGACGUUAGCGGCGGACGGGUGAGUAACACGUGGAUAACCUACCUAUAAGACUGGGAUAACUUCGGGAAACCGGAGCUAAUACCGGAUAAUAUAUUGAACCGCAUGGUUCAAUAGUGAAAGACGGUUUUGCUGUCACUUAUAGAUGGAUCCGCGCCGCAUUAGCUAGUUGGUAAGGUGACGGCUUACCAAGGCAACGAUGCGUAGCCGACCUGAGAGGGUGAUCGGCCACACUGGAACUGAGACACGGUCCAGACUCCUACGGGAGGCAGCAGUAGGGAAUCUUCCGCAAAGGGCGAAAGCUUGACGGAGCAACGCCGCGUGAGUGAUGAAGGUCUUCGGAUCGUAAAACUCUGUUAUUAGGGAAGAACAAAUGUGUAAGUAACUAUGCACGUCUUGACGGUACCUAAUCAGAAAGCCACGGCUAACUACGUG